rnacentral:lncRNA from 1 species
AUUGCUCUAACCCUAACCCUAACCCUAACCCUAACCCUAACCCUAACCCUAACCCUAACCCUAACCCUAACCCUAACCCUAACCCUAACCCUAACCCUAACCCUAACCCUAACCCUAACCCUAACCCUAACCCUAACCCUAACCCUAACCCUAACCCUAACCCUAACCCUAACCCUAACCCUAACCCUAACCCUAACCCUAACCCUAACCCUAACCCUAACCCUAACCCUAACCCUAACCCUAACCCUAACCCUAACCCUAGCCUGGCCUGGCCCUGGCCCUGGCCUGGCCUGGCCUGGCCUGGCCCUGGCCUGGCCUGGCCUGGCCUGGCCCUGGCCUGGCCUGGCCUGGCCUGGCCUGGCCUGGCCCUGGCCCUGGCCUGGCCCUGGCCCUGGCCUGGCCUGGCCUGGCCCUGGCCCUGGCCCUGGCCCUGGCCUGGCCCUGGCCCUGGCCCUGGCCUGGCCUGGCCUGGCUGGCCCCUGGCCCUGGCCCUGGCCCCCUGGCCUGGCCUGGCCCUGGCCUGGCCUGGCCUGGCCUGGCCUGGCCUGGCCUGGCCUGGCCUGGCCUGGCCCUGGCCCUGGCCUGGCCUGGCCUGGCCCUGGCCCUGGCCCUGGCCCUGGCCCUGGCCCUGGCCUGGCCCUGGCCCUGGCCCUGGCCCUGGCCCUGGCCCUGGCCCUGGCCCCUGGCCUGGCCUGGCCCUGGCCCUGGCCCUGGCCCCUGGCCCUGGCCCUGGCCCUGGCCCUGGCCCUGGCCCUGGCCCUGGCCCUGGCCCUGGCCUGGCCCUGGCCCUGGCCUGGCCUGGCCUGGCCCUGGCCCUGGCCUGGCCUGGCCCUGGCCUGGCCCCUGGCCCUGGCCUGGCCUGGCCCUGGCCUGGCCUGGCCUGGCCUGGCCCUGGCCUGGCCCUGGCCCUGGCCCUGGCCCUGGCCUGGCCUGGCCUGGCCUGGCCUGGCCUGGCCCUGGCCCUGGCCCUGGCCCUGGCCCUGGCCCUGGCCCUGGCCCUGGCCUGGCCCUGGCCUGGCCUGGCCCUGGCCCCUGGCCCUGGCCUGGCCCUGGCCCUGGCCCCUGGCCUGGCCCUGGCCUGGCCUGGCCCUGGCCUGGCCUGGCCCUGGCCUGGCCCUGGCCUGGCCCUGGCCUGGCCCUGGCCUGGCCCUGGCCUGGCCUGGCCUGGCCUGGCCUGGCCUGGCCUGGCCUGGCCUGGCCUGGCCUGGCCUGGCCUGGCCUGGCCCCUGGCCUGGCCUGGCCUGGCCUGGCCUGGCCCUGGCCUGGCCUGGCCUGGCCUGGCCUGGCCUGGCCUGGCCUGGCCUGGCCUGGCCUGGCCUGGCCUGGCCUGGCCUGGCCUGGCCUGGCCUGGCCUGGCCUGGCCUGGCCUGGCCUGGCCUGGCCUGGCCUGGCCUGGCCUGGCCUGGCCUGGCCUGGCCUGGCCUGGCCUGGCCUGGCCUGGCCUGGCCUGGCCUGGCCUGGCCUGGCCUGGCCUGGCCUGGCCUGGCCUGCCUGGCCUGGCCUGGCCUGGCCUGGCCUGGCCUGGCCUGGCCUGGCCUGGCCUGGCCUGGCCUGGCCCUGGCCUGGCCUGGCCUGGCCUGGCCUGGCCUGGCCUGGCCUGGCCCUGGCCCUGGCCUGGCCUGGCCUGGCCUGGCCCUGGCCCUGGCCUGGCCUGGCCUGGCCUGGCCUGGCCUGGCCUGGCCUGGCCUGGCCUGGCCUGGCCUGGCCUGGCCUGGCCUGGCCUGGCCUGGCCUGGCCUGGCCUGGCCUGGCCUGGCCCUGGCCUGGCCUGGCCUGGCCCUGGCCUGGCCUGGCCUGGCCUGGCCUGGCCCUGGCCUGGCCUGGCCUGGCCUGGCCUGGCCUGGCCUGGCCUGGCCUGGCCUGGCCUGGCCUGGCCUGGCCUGGCCCUGGCCUGGCCUGGCCUGGCCUGGCCUGGCCUGGCCUGGCCUGGCCUGGCCUGGCCCUGGCCUGGCCUGGCCUGGCCUGGCCCCUGGCCCUGGCCUGGCCUGGCCUGGCCUGGCCUGGCCUGGCCUGGCCUGGCCUGGCCUGGCCUGGCCUGGCCUGGCCUGGCCUGGCCUGGCCUGGCCUGGCCUGGCCUGGCCUGGCCUGGCCUGGCCUGGCCUGGCCUGGCCUGGCCUGGCCUGGCCUGGCCUGGCCUGGCCUGGCCUGGCCUGGCCUGGCCCUGGCCUGGCCUGGCCUGGCCUGGCCUGGCCUGGCCUGGCCUGGCCUGGCCUGGCCUGGCCUGGCCUGGCCUGGCCUGGCCUGGCCUGGCCUGGCCUGGCCUGGCCUGGCCUGGCCUGGCCUGGCCUGGCCUGGCCUGGCCUGGCCUGGCCUGGCCUGGCCUGGCCUGGCCUGGCCUGGCCUGGCCUGGCCUGGCCUGGCCUGGCCUGGCCUGGCCUGGCCUGGCCUGGCCUGGCCUGGCCUGGCCUGGCCUGGCCUGGCCUGGCCUGGCCUGGCCUGGCCUGGCCUGGCCUGGCCUGGCCUGGCCUGGCCUGGCCUGGCCUGGCCUGGCCUGGCCUGGCCUGGCCUGGCCUGGCCUGGCCUGGCCUGGCCUGGCCUGGCCUGGCCUGGCCUGGCCCUGGCCUGGCCUGGCCUGGCCUGGCCUGGCCUGGCCUGGCCUGGCCUGGCCUGGCCUGGCCUGGCCUGGCCUGGCCUGGCCUGGCCUGGCCUGGCCUGGCCUGGCCUGGCCUGGCCUGGCCUGGCCUGGCCUGGCCUGGCCUGGCCUGGCCUGGCCUGGCCUGGCCCUGGCCUGGCCUGGCCUGGCCUGGCCUGGCCUGGCCCUGGCCUGGCCUGGCCCUGGCCUGGCCUGGCCUGGCCUGGCCUGGCUGGCCUGGCCUGGCCUGGCCUGGCCUGGCCUGGCCUGGCCUGGCCUGGCCUGGCCUGGCCUGGCCUGGCCUGGCCUGGCCUGGCCUGGCCUGGCCUGGCCUGGCCUGGCCUGGCCUGGCCUGGCCUGGCCUGGCCUGGCCUGGCCCUGGCCUGGCCUGGCCUGGCCCUGGCCUGGCCUGGCCUGGCCUGGCCUGGCCUGGCCUGGCCCUGGCCUGGCCCUGGCCUGGCCUGGCCUGGCCUGGCCUGGCCUGGCCUGGCCUGGCCUGGCCUGGCCUGGCCUGGCCUGGCCCUGGCCUGGCCUGGCCUGGCCUGGCCUGGCCUGGCCUGGCCUGGCCUGGCCUGGCCUGGCCUGGCCUGGCCUGGCCUGGCCUGGCCUGGCCUGGCCUGGCCUGGCCUGGCCUGGCCUGGCCUGGCCUGGCCUGGCCUGGCCUGGCCUGGCCUGGCCUGGCCUGGCCUGGCCUGGCCUGGCCUGGCCUGGCCUGGCCUGGCCUGGCCUGGCCUGGCCUGGCCUGGCCUGGCCUGGCCUGGCCUGGCCUGGCCUGGCCUGGCCUGGCCUGGCCUGGCCUGGCCUGGCCUGGCCUGGCCUGGCCUGGCCUGGCCUGGCCUGGCCUGGCCUGGCCUGGCCUGGCCUGGCCUGGCCUGGCCUGGCCUGGCCUGGCCUGGCCUGGCCUGGCCUGGCCCUGGCCUGGCCUGGCCUGGCCUGGCCUGGCCUGGCCUGGCCUGGCCUGGCCUGGCCUGGCCUGGCCUGGCCUGGCCUGGCCUGGCCUGGCCUGGCCUGGCCUGGCCUGGCCUGGCCUGGCCUGGCCUGGCCUGGCCUGGCCUGGCCUGGCCUGGCCUGGCCUGGCCUGGCCUGGCCUGGCCUGGCCUGGCCUGGCCUGGCCUGGCCUGGCCUGGCCUGGCCUGGCCUGGCCUGGCCUGGCCUGGCCUGGCCUGGCCUGGCCUGGCCUGGCCUGGCCUGGCCUGGCCUGGCCUGGCCUGGCCUGGCCUGGCCUGGCCUGGCCCUGGCCUGGCCUGGCCUGGCCUGGCCUGGCCUGGCCUGGCCUGGCCUGGCCUGGCCUGGCCUGGCCUGGCCUGGCCUGGCCUGGCCUGGCCUGGCCUGGCCUGGCCUGGCCUGGCCUGGCCUGGCCUGGCCUGGCCUGGCCUGGCCUGGCCUGGCCUGGCCUGGCCUGGCCUGGCCUGGCCUGGCCUGGCCUGGCCUGGCCUGGCCUGGCCUGGCCUGGCCUGGCCUGGCCUGGCCUGGCCUGGCCUGGCCUGGCCUGGCCUGGCCCUGGCCUGGCCUGGCCUGGCCUGGCCUGGCCUGGCCUGGCCUGGCCUGGCCUGGCCUGGCCUGGCCUGGCCUGGCCUGGCCUGGCCUGGCCCCUGGCCUGGCCUGGCCUGGCCUGGCCUGGCCUGGCCUGGCCUGGCCUGGCCUGGCCUGGCCUGGCCUGGCCUGGCCUGGCCUGGCCUGGCCUGGCCUGGCCUGGCCUGGCCUGGCCCUGGCCUGGCCUGGCCUGGCCUGGCCUGGCCUGGCCUGGCCUGGCCUGGCCUGGCCUGGCCUGGCCUGGCCUGGCCUGGCCUGGCCUGGCCUGGCCUGGCCUGGCCUGGCCUGGCCUGGCCUGGCCUGGCCUGGCCUGGCCUGGCCUGGCCUGGCCUGGCCUGGCCUGGCCUGGCCUGGCCUGGCCUGGCCUGGCCUGGCCUGGCCUGGCCUGGCCUGGCCUGGCCUGGCCUGGCCUGGCCUGGCCUGGCCUGGCCUGGCCUGGCCUGGCCUGGCCUGGCCUGGCCUGGCCUGGCCUGGCCUGGCCCUGGCCUGGCCUGGCCUGGCCUGGCCUGGCCUGGCCUGGCCUGGCCUGGCCUGGCCUGGCCUGGCCUGGCCCUGGCCUGGCCUGGCCUGGCCUGGCCUGGCCUGGCCUGGCCUGGCCUGGCCUGGCCUGGCCUGGCCUGGCCUGGCCUGGCCUGGCCUGGCCUGGCCUGGCCUGGCCUGGCCUGGCCUGGCCCUGGCCUGGCCUGGCCUGGCCUGGCCUGGCCUGGCCCUGGCCUGGCCUGGCCUGGCCCUGGCCUGGCCUGGCCUGGCCUGGCCCUGGCCUGGCCUGGCCUGGCCUGGCCUGGCCUGGCCUGGCUGGCCUGGCCUGGCCUGGCCUGGCCUGGCCUGGCCUGGCCUGGCCUGGCCUGGCCUGGCCUGGCCUGGCCUGGCCUGGCCUGGCCUGGCCUGGCCUGGCCUGGCCUGGCCUGGCCUGGCCUGGCCUGGCCUGGCCUGGCCUGGCCUGGCCUGGCCUGGCCUGGCCUGGCCUGGCCUGGCCUGGCCUGGCCUGGCCUGGCCUGGCCUGGCCUGGCCUGGCCUGGCCUGGCCUGGCCUGGCCUGGCCUGGCCUGGCCUGGCCUGGCCUGGCCCUGGCCUGGCCUGGCCUGGCCUGGCCUGGCCUGGCCUGGCCUGGCCUGGCCUGGCCUGGCCUGGCCUGGCCUGGCCUGGCCUGGCCUGGCCUGGCCUGGCCUGGCCUGGCCUGGCCUGGCCUGGCCUGGCCUGGCCUGGCCUGGCCUGGCCUGGCCUGGCCUGGCCUGGCCCUGGCCUGGCCUGGCCCCCUGGCCUGGCCUGGCCCCUGGCCUGGCCUGGCCUGGCCUGGCCUGGCCUGGCCUGGCCUGGCUGGCCCUGGCCUGGCCUGGCCUGGCCUGGCCUGGCCUGGCCUGGCCUGGCCUGGCCUGGCCUGGCCUGGCCUGGCCUGGCCUGGCCUGGCCUGGCCUGGCCUGGCCUGGCCCUGGCCUGGCCUGGCCUGGCCUGGCCUGGCCUGGCCUGGCCUGGCCUGGCCUGGCCUGGCCUGGCCUGGCCUGGCCUGGCCUGGCCUGGCCUGGCCUGGCCUGGCCUGGCCUGGCCUGGCCCUGGCCCUGGCCUGGCCUGGCCUGGCCUGGCCUGGCCUGGCCUGGCCUGGCCCUGGCCUGGCCUGGCCUGGCCUGGCCUGGCCUGGCCUGGCCUGGCCUGGCCUGGCCUGGCCUGGCCUGGCCUGGCCUGGCCUGGCCUGGCCUGGCCUGGCCUGGCCUGGCCUGGCCUGGCCUGGCCUGGCCUGGCCUGGCCUGGCCUGGCCUGGCCUGGCCUGGCCUGGCCUGGCCUGGCCUGGCCUGGCCUGGCCUGGCCUGGCCUGGCCUGGCCUGGCCUGGCCUGGCCUGGCCUGGCCUGGCCUGGCCUGGCCUGGCCUGGCCUGGCCUGGCCUGGCCUGGCCUGGCCUGGCCUGGCCUGGCCUGGCCUGGCCUGGCCUGGCCCUGGCCUGGCCUGGCCUGGCCUGGCCUGGCCUGGCCUGGCCUGGCCUGGCCUGGCCUGGCCUGGCCCUGGCCUGGCCUGGCCUGGCCUGGCCUGGCCUGGCCUGGCCUGGCCUGGCCUGGCCUGGCCUGGCCUGGCCUGGCCUGGCCUGGCCUGGCCUGGCCUGGCCUGGCCUGGCCUGGCCCUGGCCUGGCCUGGCCUGGCCUGGCCUGGCCUGGCCUGGCCUGGCCUGGCCUGGCCUGGCCUGGCCUGGCCUGGCCUGGCCUGGCCUGGCCUGGCCUGGCCUGGCCUGGCCUGGCCUGGCCUGGCCUGGCCUGGCCUGGCCUGGCCUGGCCUGGCCUGGCCUGGCCUGGCCUGGCCUGGCCUGGCCUGGCCUGGCCUGGCCUGGCCUGGCCUGGCCUGGCCUGGCCUGGCCUGGCCUGGCCUGGCCUGGCCUGGCCUGGCCUGGCCUGGCCUGGCCUGGCCUGGCCUGGCCUGGCCUGGCCUGGCCUGGCCUGGCCUGGCCUGGCCUGGCCUGGCCUGGCCUGGCCUGGCCUGGCCUGGCCUGGCCUGGCCCCUGGCCUGGCCUGGCCUGGCCUGGCCUGGCCUGGCCUGGCCUGGCCUGGCCUGGCCUGGCCUGGCCCUGGCCUGGCCUGGCCUGGCCUGGCCUGGCCCUGGCCUGGCCUGGCCUGGCCUGGCCUGGCCUGGCCUGGCCUGGCCUGGCCUGGCCUGGCCUGGCCUGGCCUGGCCUGGCCUGGCCUGGCCUGGCCUGGCCCUGGCCUGGCCUGGCCCUGGCCUGGCCUGGCCCUGGCCUGGCCUGGCCUGGCCUGGCCUGGCCUGGCCUGGCCUGGCCUGGCCUGGCCCUGGCCUGGCCUGGCCUGGCCUGGCCUGGCCCUGGCCCUGGCCCUGGCCUGGCCCUGGCCUGGCCUGGCCUGGCCUGGCCCCUGGCCCUGGCCUGGCCUGGCCUGGCCUGGCCUGGCCUGGCCUGGCCUGGCCCCUGGCCCUGGCCCUGGCCCUGGCCUGGCCCUGGCCUGGCCUGGCCUGGCCUGGCCCUGGCCCUGGCCUGGCCUGGCCUGGCCUGGCCUGGCCCUGGCCUGGCCUGGCCCUGGCCUGGCCCUGGCCUGGCCUGGCCUGGCCCUGGCCCUGGCCUGGCCUGGCCCUGGCCCUGGCCCUGGCCUGGCCUGGCCCUGGCCCUGGCCCCUGGCCCUGGCCUGGCCGUGGACCCUGCGCCCUGGCCUGGCCUGGCCUGGCCCCCUGGCCUGGCCUCAAAUGGCCUAGGAAAUGGCCUGAAACGUGCUCACAAUGCAUUUUCAACAGUUCCAGACAAGUACAACACUUGCAAACACUGACUUUGGCCAUUUUCCGCUCCCAUUCAUUUUCAAUGGGAAAUUUUCACUUCGCCAUAACUUUUGAUAGGAAUGUCCGAUCGCUGGUUCAUUACUAUUUCUAGAUUCAGCAUACCCGAAAAUGGGGGGGUAGACCAAAUCUCAGCCCGGUUCAUCAUUGGGAAAGGCAAUGAACCGGCAUGUCAAAAGUGGCACAUAUCCCUAUAUCCUGCCCCAAAGCUCCAACCCCGAAAACUUCACCCAAAUCAGGUUCUAUGGACUCCCCGUGGCCUGAAACGUGCUCCUAACACAAUUCUGGAAGGUGAAAAAUUGGGUCCGCACUUAGGAAAAUCUUCAGAUUUUGGGAAAAUCUUCACAUUUUCCUAACCCUAACCCUAACCCUAGCUCCAACCCUAACCCUAACCCUAGCUCCAACCCUAACCCUAACCCUAGCUCCACAACUAACCCUAACCCUAGCUCCAGCCCUAACCCUAACCCCUUGCCCAAAGUCUCACCCUAACCCUAACCGUCGGACAUGUGCAGCGCCACCUCUGGUCAAAAGCGGUAUGACACCCCUUUUGCAAAGUCGCCCUCAAAUGACAGGAAAUGGCCUGAAACGUGCUCACAAUGCAUUUUCAACAGUUCCAGACAAGUACAACACUUGCAAACACUGACUUUGGCCAUUUUUCCGCUCCCAUUCAUUUUCAAUGGGAAAUUUUCACUUCGCCAUAACUUUUGAUAGGAAUGUCCGAUCGCUGGUUCAUUACUAUUUCUAGAUUCAGCAUACCCGAAAAUGGGGGGGUAGACCAAAUCUCAGCCCGGUUCAUCAUUGGGAAAGGCAAUGAACCGGCAUGUCAAAAGUGGCACAUAUCCCUAUAUCCUGCCCCAAAGCUCCAACCCCGAAAACUUCACCCACAAUCAGGUUCUAUGGACUCCCCGUGGCCUGAAACGUGCUCCUAACACAAUUCUGGAAGGUGAAAAAUUGGGUCCGCACUUAGGAAAAUCUUCAGAUUUUGGGAAAAUCUUCACAUUUUCCUAACCCUAACCCUAACCCUAGCUCCAACCCUAACCCUAACCCUAGCUCCAACCCUAGCUCCACAACUAACCCUAACCAUAGCUCCAGCCCUAACCCUAACCCCUUGCCCAAAGUCUCACCCUAACCCUAACCGUCGGACAUGUGCAGCGCCACCUCUGGUCAAAAGCGGUAUGACACCCCUUUUGCAAAGUCGCCCUCAAAUGACAGGAAAUGGCCUGAAACGUGCUCACAAUGCAUUUUCAACAUUUCCAGACAAGUACAACACUUGCAAACACUGACUUUGGCCAUUUUUCCGCUCCCAUUCAUUUUCAAUGGGAAAUUUUCACUUCGCCAUAACUUUUGAUAGGAAUGUCCGAUCGCUGGUUCAUUACUAUUUCUAGAUUCAGCAUACCCGAAAAUGGGGGGUAGACCAAAUCUCAGCCCGGUUCAUCAUUGGGAAAGGCAAUGAACCGGCAUGUCAAAAGUGGCACAUAUCCCUAUAUCCUGCCCCAAAGCUCCAACCCCCGAAAACUUCACCCACAAUCAGGUUCUAUGGACUCCCCGUGGCCUGAAACGUGCUCCUAACACAAUUCUGGAAGGUGAAAAAUUGGGUCCGCACUUAGGAAAAUCUUCAGAUUUUGGGAAAAUCUUCACAUUUUCCUAACCCUAACCCUAACCCUAGCUCCAACCCUAACCCUAACCCUAGCUCCAACCCUAGCUCCACAACUAACCCUAACCAUAGCUCCAGCCCUAACCCUAACCCCUUGCCCAAAGUCUCACCCUAACCCUAACCGUCGGACAUGUGCAGCGCCACCUCUGGUCAAAAGCGGUAGGACACCCCUUUUGCAAAGUCGCCCUCAAAUGACAGGAAAUGGCCUGAAACGUGCUCACAAUGCAUUUUCAACAUUUCCAGACAAGUAGAACACUUGCAAACACUGACUUUGGCCAUUUUUCCGCUCCCAUUCAUCUUCAAUGGGAAAUUUUCACUUCGCCAUAACUUUUGAUAGGAAUGUCCGAUCGCUGGUUCAUUACUAUUUCUAGAUUCAGCAUACCCGAAAAUGGGGGGGUAGACCAAAUCUCAGCCCGGUUCAUCAUUGGGAAAGGCAAUGAACCGGCAUGUCAAAAGUGGCACAUAUCCCUAUAUCCUGCCCCAAAGCUCCAACCCCGAAAACUUCACCCACAAUCAGGUUCUAUGGACUCCCCGUGGCCUGAAACGUGCUCCUAACACAAUUCUGGAAGGUGAAAAAUUGGGUCCGCACUUAGGAAAAUCUUCAGAUUUUGGGAAAAUCUUCACAUUUUCCUAACCCUAACCCUAACCCUAGCUCCAACCCUAACCCUAACCCUAGCUCCAACCCUAGCUCCACAACUAACCCUAACCAUAGCUCCAGCCCUAACCCUAACCCCUUGCCCAAAGUCUCACCCUAACCCUAACCGUCGGACAUGUGCAGCGCCACCUCUGGUCAAAAGCGGUAGGACACCCCUUUUUGCAAAGUCGCCCUCAAAUGACAGGAAAUGGCCUGAAACGUGCUCACAAUGCAUUUUCAACAUUUCCAGACAAGUAGAACACUUGCAAACACUGACUUUGGCCAUUUUUCCGCUCCCAUUCAUCUUCAAUGGGAAAUUUUCACUUCGCCAUAACUUUUGAUAGGAAUGUCCGAUCGCUGGUUCAUUACUAUUUCUAGAUUCAGCAUACCCGAAAAUGGGGGGUAGACCAAAUCUCAGCCCGGUUCAUCAUUGGGAAAGGCAAUGAACCGGCAUGUCAAAAGUGGCACAUAUCCCUAUAUCCUGCCCCAAAGCUCCAACCCCCGAAAACUUCACCCACAAUCAGGUUCUAUGGACUCCCCGUGGCCUGAAACGUGCUCCUAACACAAUUCUGGAAGGUGAAAAAUUGGGUCCGCACUUAGGAAAAUCUUCAGAUUUUGGGAAAAUCUUCACAUUUUCCUAACCCUAACCCUAACCCUAGCUCCAACCCUAACCCUAACCCUAGCUCCAACCCUAGCUCCACAACUAACCCUAACCAUAGCUCCAGCCCUAACCCUAACCCCUUGCCCAAAGUCUCACCCUAACCCUAACCGUCGGACAUGUGCAGCGCCACCUCUGGUCAAAAGCGGUAGGACACCCCUUUUGCAAAGUCGCCCUCAAAUGACAGGAAAUGGCCUGAAACGUGCUCACAAUGCAUUUUCAACAUUUCCAGACAAGUACAACACUUGCAAACACUGACUUUGGCCAUUUUUCCGCUCCCAUUCAUCUUCAAUGGGAAAUUUUCACUUCGCCAUAACUUUUGAUAGGAAUGUCCGAUCGCUGGUUCAUUACUAUUUCUAGAUUCAGCAUACCCGAAAAUGGGGGGUAGACCAAAUCUCAGCCCGGUUCAUCAUUGGGAAAGGCAAUGAACCGGCAUGUCAAAAGUGGCACAUAUCCCUAUAUCCUGCCCCAAAGCUCCAACCCCCGAAAACUUCACCCACAAUCAGGUUCUAUGGACUCCCCGUGGCCUGAAACGUGCUCCUAACACAAUUCUGGAAGGUGAAAAAUUGGGUCCGCACUUAGGAAAAUCUUCAGAUUUUGGGAAAAUCUUCACAUUUUCCUAACCCUAACCCUAACCCUAGCUCCAACCCUAACCCUAACCCUAGCUCCAACCCUAGCUCCACAACUAACCCUAACCAUAGCUCCAGCCCUAACCCUAACCCCUUGCCCAAAGUCUCACCCUAACCCUAACCGUCGGACAUGUGCAGCGCCACCUCUGGUCAAAAGCGGUAGGACACCCCUUUUUGCAAAGUCGCCCUCAAAUGACAGGAAAUGGCCUGAAACGUGCUCACAAUGCAUUUUCAACAUUUCCAGACAAGUACAACACUUGCAAACACUGACUUUGGCCAUUUUUCCGCUCCCAUUCAUCUUCAAUGGGAAAUUUUCACUUCGCCAUAACUUUUGAUAGGAAUGUCCGAUCGCUGGUUCAUUACUAUUUCUAGAUUCAGCAUACCCGAAAAUGGGGGGUAGACCAAAUCUCAGCCCGGUUCAUCAUUGGGAAAGGCAAUGAACCGGCAUGUCAAAAGUGGCACAUAUCCCUAUAUCCUGCCCCAAAGCUCCAACCCCCGAAAACUUCACCCACAAUCAGGUUCUAUGGACUCCCCGUGGCCUGAAACGUGCUCCUAACACAAUUCUGGAAGGUGAAAAAUUGGGUCCGCACUUAGGAAAAUCUUCAGAUUUUGGGAAAAUCUUCACAUUUUCCUAACCCUAACCCUAACCCUAGCUCCAACCCUAACCCUAACCCUAGCUCCAACCCUAGCUCCACAACUAACCCUAACCAUAGCUCCAGCCCUAACCCUAACCCCUUGCCCAAAGUCUCACCCUAACCCUAACCGUCGGACAUGUGCAGCGCCACCUCUGGUCAAAAGCGGUAGGACACCCCUUUUGCAAAGUCGCCCUCAAAUGACAGGAAAUGGCCUGAAACGUGCUCACAAUGCAUUUUCAACAUUUCCAGACAAGUAGAACACUUGCAAACACUGACUUUGGCCAUUUUUCCGCUCCCAUUCAUCUUCAAUGGGAAAUUUUCACUUCGCCAUAACUUUUGAUAGGAAUGUCCGAUCGCUGGUUCAUUACUAUUUCUAGAUUCAGCAUACCCGAAAAUGGGGGGUAGACCAAAUCUCAGCCCGGUUCAUCAUUGGGAAAGGCAAUGAACCGGCAUGUCAAAAGUGGCACAUAUCCCUAUAUCCUGCCCCAAAGCUCCAACCCCCGAAAACUUCACCCACAAUCAGGUUCUAUGGACUCCCCGUGGCCUGAAACGUGCUCCUAACACAAUUCUGGAAGGUGAAAAAUUGGGUCCGCACUUAGGAAAAUCUUCAGAUUUUGGGAAAAUCUUCACAUUUUCCUAACCCUAACCCUAACCCUAGCUCCAACCCUAACCCUAACCCUAGCUCCAACCCUAGCUCCACAACUAACCCUAACCAUAGCUCCAGCCCUAACCCUAACCCCUUGCCCAAAGUCUCACCCUAACCCUAACCGUCGGACAUGUGCAGCGCCACCUCUGGUCAAAAGCGGUAGGACACCCCUUUUGCAAAGUCGCCCUCAAAUGACAGGAAAUGGCCUGAAACGUGCUCACAAUGCAUUUUCAACAUUUCCAGACAAGUAGAACACUUGCAAACACUGACUUUGGCCAUUUUUCCGCUCCCAUUCAUCUUCAAUGGGAAAUUUUCACUUCGCCAUAACUUUUGAUAGGAAUGUCCGAUCGCUGGUUCAUUACUAUUUCUAGAUUCAGCAUACCCGAAAAUGGGGGGGUAGACCAAAUCUCAGCCCGGUUCAUCAUUGGGAAAGGCAAUGAACCGGCAUGUCAAAAGUGGCACAUAUCCCUAUAUCCUGCCCCAAAGCUCCAACCCCCGAAAACUUCACCCACAAUCAGGUUCUAUGGACUCCCCGUGGCCUGAAACGUGCUCCUAACACAAUUCUGGAAGGUGAAAAAUUGGGUCCGCACUUAGGAAAAUCUUCAGAUUUUGGGAAAAUCUUCACAUUUUCCUAACCCUAACCCUAACCCUAGCUCCAACCCUAACCCUAACCCUAGCUCCAACCCUAGCUCCACAACUAACCCUAACCAUAGCUCCAGCCCUAACCCUAACCCCUUGCCCAAAGUCUCACCCUAACCCUAACCGUCGGACAUGUGCAGCGCCACCUCUGGUCAAAAGCGGUAGGACACCCCUUUUGCAAAGUCGCCCUCAAAUGACAGGAAAUGGCCUGAAACGUGCUCACAAUGCAUUUUCAACAUUUCCAGACAAGUAGAACACUUGCAAACACUGACUUUGGCCAUUUUUCCGCUCCCAUUCAUCUUCAAUGGGAAAUUUUCACUUCGCCAUAACUUUUGAUAGGAAUGUCCGAUCGCUGGUUCAUUACUAUUUCUAGAUUCAGCAUACCCGAAAAUGGGGGGUAGACCAAAUCUCAGCCCGGUUCAUCAUUGGGAAAGGCAAUGAACCGGCAUGUCAAAAGUGGCACAUAUCCCUAUAUCCUGCCCCAAAGCUCCAACCCCCGAAAACUUCACCCACAAUCAGGUUCUAUGGACUCCCCGUGGCCUGAAACGUGCUCCUAACACAAUUCUGGAAGGUGAAAAAUUGGGUCCGCACUUAGGAAAAUCUUCAGAUUUUGGGAAAAUCUUCACAUUUUCCUAACCCUAACCCUAACCCUAGCUCCAACCCUAACCCUAACCCUAGCUCCAACCCUAGCUCCACAACUAACCCUAACCAUAGCUCCAGCCCUAACCCUAACCCCUUGCCCAAAGUCUCACCCUAACCCUAACCGUCGGACAUGUGCAGCGCCACCUCUGGUCAAAAGCGGUAGGACACCCCUUUUGCAAAGUCGCCCUCAAAUGACAGGAAAUGGCCUGAAACGUGCUCACAAUGCAUUUUCAACAUUUCCAGACAAGUAGAACACUUGCAAACACUGACUUUGGCCAUUUUUCCGCUCCCAUUCAUCUUCAAUGGGAAAUUUUCACUUCGCCAUAACUUUUGAUAGGAAUGUCCGAUCGCUGGUUCAUUACUAUUUCUAGAUUCAGCAUACCCGAAAAUGGGGGGGUAGACCAAAUCUCAGCCCGGUUCAUCAUUGGGAAAGGCAAUGAACCGGCAUGUCAAAAGUGGCACAUAUCCCUAUAUCCUGCCCCAAAGCUCCAACCCCCGAAAACUUCACCCACAAUCAGGUUCUAUGGACUCCCCGUGGCCUGAAACGUGCUCCUAACACAAUUCUGGAAGGUGAAAAAUUGGGUCCGCACUUAGGAAAAUCUUCAGAUUUUGGGAAAAUCUUCACAUUUUCCUAACCCUAACCCUAACCCUAGCUCCAACCCUAACCCUAACCCUAGCUCCAACCCUAGCUCCACAACUAACCCUAACCAUAGCUCCAGCCCUAACCCUAACCCCUUGCCCAAAGUCUCACCCUAACCCUAACCGUCGGACAUGUGCAGCGCCACCUCUGGUCAAAAGCGGUAGGACACCCCUUUUGCAAAGUCGCCCUCAAAUGACAGGAAAUGGCCUGAAACGUGCUCACAAUGCAUUUUCAACAUUUCCAGACAAGUAGAACACUUGCAAACACUGACUUUGGCCAUUUUUCCGCUCCCAUUCAUCUUCAAUGGGAAAUUUUCACUUCGCCAUAACUUUUGAUAGGAAUGUCCGAUCGCUGGUUCAUUACUAUUUCUAGAUUCAGCAUACCCGAAAAUGGGGGGUAGACCAAAUCUCAGCCCGGUUCAUCAUUGGGAAAGGCAAUGAACCGGCAUGUCAAAAGUGGCACAUAUCCCUAUAUCCUGCCCCAAAGCUCCAACCCCCGAAAACUUCACCCACAAUCAGGUUCUAUGGACUCCCCGUGGCCUGAAACGUGCUCCUAACACAAUUCUGGAAGGUGAAAAAUUGGGUCCGCACUUAGGAAAAUCUUCAGAUUUUGGGAAAAUCUUCACAUUUUCCUAACCCUAACCCUAACCCUAGCUCCAACCCUAACCCUAACCCUAGCUCCAACCCUAGCUCCACAACUAACCCUAACCAUAGCUCCAGCCCUAACCCUAACCCCUUGCCCAAAGUCUCACCCUAACCCUAACCGUCGGACAUGUGCAGCGCCACCUCUGGUCAAAAGCGGUAGGACACCCCUUUUUGCAAAGUCGCCCUCAAAUGACAGGAAAUGGCCUGAAACGUGCUCACAAUGCAUUUUCAACAUUUCCAGACAAGUAGAACACUUGCAAACACUGACUUUGGCCAUUUUUCCGCUCCCAUUCAUCUUCAAUGGGAAAUUUUCACUUCGCCAUAACUUUUGAUAGGAAUGUCCGAUCGCUGGUUCAUUACUAUUUCUAGAUUCAGCAUACCCGAAAAUGGGGGGUAGACCAAAUCUCAGCCCGGUUCAUCAUUGGGAAAGGCAAUGAACCGGCAUGUCAAAAGUGGCACAUAUCCCUAUAUCCUGCCCCAAAGCUCCAACCCCCGAAAACUUCACCCACAAUCAGGUUCUAUGGACUCCCCGUGGCCUGAAACGUGCUCCUAACACAAUUCUGGAAGGUGAAAAAUUGGGUCCGCACUUAGGAAAAUCUUCAGAUUUUGGGAAAAUCUUCACAUUUUCCUAACCCUAACCCUAACCCUAGCUCCAACCCUAACCCUAACCCUAGCUCCAACCCUAGCUCCACAACUAACCCUAACCAUAGCUCCAGCCCUAACCCUAACCCCUUGCCCAAAGUCUCACCCUAACCCUAACCGUCGGACAUGUGCAGCGCCACCUCUGGUCAAAAGCGGUAGGACACCCCUUUUUGCAAAGUCGCCCUCAAAUGACAGGAAAUGGCCUGAAACGUGCUCACAAUGCAUUUUCAACAUUUCCAGACAAGUAGAACACUUGCAAACACUGACUUUGGCCAUUUUCCGCUCCCAUUCAUCUUCAAUGGGAAAUUUUCACUUCGCCAUAACUUUUGAUAGGAAUGUCCGAUCGCUGGUUCAUUACUAUUUCUAGAUUCAGCAUACCCGAAAAUGGGGGGUAGACCAAAUCUCAGCCCGGUUCAUCAUUGGGAAAGGCAAUGAACCGGCAUGUCAAAAGUGGCACAUAUCCCUAUAUCCUGCCCCAAAGCUCCAACCCCCGAAAACUUCACCCACAAUCAGGUUCUAUGGACUCCCCGUGGCCUGAAACGUGCUCCUAACACAAUUCUGGAAGGUGAAAAAUUGGGUCCGCACUUAGGAAAAUCUUCAGAUUUUGGGAAAAUCUUCACAUUUUCCUAACCCUAACCCUAACCCUAGCUCCAACCCUAACCCUAACCCUAGCUCCAACCCUAGCUCCACAACUAACCCUAACCAUAGCUCCAGCCCUAACCCUAACCCCUUGCCCAAAGUCUCACCCUAACCCUAACCGUCGGACAUGUGCAGCGCCACCUCUGGUCAAAAGCGGUAGGACACCCCUUUUGCAAAGUCGCCCUCAAAUGACAGGAAAUGGCCUGAAACGUGCUCACAAUGCAUUUUCAACAUUUCCAGACAAGUAGAACACUUGCAAACACUGACUUUGGCCAUUUUUCCGCUCCCAUUCAUCUUCAAUGGGAAAUUUUCACUCUUCGCCAUAACUUUUGAUAGGAAUGUCCGAUCGCUGGUUCAUUACUAUUUCUAGAUUCAGCAUACCCGAAAAUGGGGGGUAGACCAAAUCUCAGCCCGGUUCAUCAUUGGGAAAGGCAAUGAACCGGCAUGUCAAAAGUGGCACAUAUCCCUAUAUCCUGCCCCAAAGCUCCAACCCCCGAAAACUUCACCCACAAUCAGGUUCUAUGGACUCCCCGUGGCCUGAAACGUGCUCCUAACACAAUUCUGGAAGGUGAAAAAUUGGGUCCGCACUUAGGAAAAUCUUCAGAUUUUGGGAAAAUCUUCACAUUUUCCUAACCCUAACCCUAACCCUAGCUCCAACCCUAACCCUAACCCUAGCUCCAACCCUAGCUCCACAACUAACCCUAACCAUAGCUCCAGCCCUAACCCUAACCCCUUGCCCAAAGUCUCACCCUAACCCUAACCGUCGGACAUGUGCAGCGCCACCUCUGGUCAAAAGCGGUAGGACACCCCUUUUGCAAAGUCGCCCUCAAAUGACAGGAAAUGGCCUGAAACGUGCUCACAAUGCAUUUUCAACAUUUCCAGACAAGUAGAACACUUGCAAACACUGACUUUGGCCAUUUUUCCGCUCCCAUUCAUCUUCAAUGGGAAAUUUUCACUUCGCCAUAACUUUUGAUAGGAAUGUCCGAUCGCUGGUUCAUUACUAUUUCUAGAUUCAGCAUACCCGAAAAUGGGGGGUAGACCAAAUCUCAGCCCGGUUCAUCAUUGGGAAAGGCAAUGAACCGGCAUGUCAAAAGUGGCACAUAUCCCUAUAUCCUGCCCCAAAGCUCCAACCCCCGAAAACUUCACCCACAAUCAGGUUCUAUGGACUCCCCGUGGCCUGAAACGUGCUCCUAACACAAUUCUGGAAGGUGAAAAAUUGGGUCCGCACUUAGGAAAAUCUUCAGAUUUUGGGAAAAUCUUCACAUUUUCCUAACCCUAACCCUAACCCUAGCUCCAACCCUAACCCUAACCCUAGCUCCAACCCUAGCUCCACAACUAACCCUAACCAUAGCUCCAGCCCUAACCCUAACCCCUUGCCCAAAGUCUCACCCUAACCCUAACCGUCGGACAUGUGCAGCGCCACCUCUGGUCAAAAGCGGUAGGACACCCCUUUUGCAAAGUCGCCCUCAAAUGACAGGAAAUGGCCUGAAACGUGCUCACAAUGCAUUUUCAACAUUUCCAGACAAGUAGAACACUUGCAAACACUGACUUUGGCCAUUUUUCCGCUCCCAUUCAUCUUCAAUGGGAAAUUUUCACUUCGCCAUAACUUUUGAUAGGAAUGUCCGAUCGCUGGUUCAUUACUAUUUCUAGAUUCAGCAUACCCGAAAAUGGGGGGUAGACCAAAUCUCAGCCCGGUUCAUCAUUGGGAAAGGCAAUGAACCGGCAUGUCAAAAGUGGCACAUAUCCCUAUAUCCUGCCCCAAAGCUCCAACCCCCGAAAACUUCACCCACAAUCAGGUUCUAUGGACUCCCCGUGGCCUGAAACGUGCUCCUAACACAAUUCUGGAAGGUGAAAAAUUGGGUCCGCACUUAGGAAAAUCUUCAGAUUUUGGGAAAAUCUUCACAUUUUCCUAACCCUAACCCUAACCCUAGCUCCAACCCUAACCCUAACCCUAGCUCCAACCCUAGCUCCACAACUAACCCUAACCAUAGCUCCAGCCCUAACCCUAACCCCUUGCCCAAAGUCUCACCCUAACCCUAACCGUCGGACAUGUGCAGCGCCACCUCUGGUCAAAAGCGGUAGGACACCCCUUUUUGCAAAGUCGCCCUCAAAUGACAGGAAAUGGCCUGAAACGUGCUCACAAUGCAUUUUCAACAUUUCCAGACAAGUAGAACACUUGCAAACACUGACUUUGGCCAUUUUUCCGCUCCCAUUCAUCUUCAAUGGGAAAUUUUCACUUCGCCAUAACUUUUGAUAGGAAUGUCCGAUCGCUGGUUCAUUACUAUUUCUAGAUUCAGCAUACCCGAAAAUGGGGGGUAGACCAAAUCUCAGCCCGGUUCAUCAUUGGGAAAGGCAAUGAACCGGCAUGUCAAAAGUGGCACAUAUCCCUAUAUCCUGCCCCAAAGCUCCAACCCCCGAAAACUUCACCCACAAUCAGGUUCUAUGGACUCCCCGUGGCCUGAAACGUGCUCCUAACACAAUUCUGGAAGGUGAAAAAUUGGGUCCGCACUUAGGAAAAUCUUCAGAUUUUGGGAAAAUCUUCACAUUUUCCUAACCCUAACCCUAACCCUAGCUCCAACCCUAACCCUAACCCUAGCUCCAACCCUAGCUCCACAACUAACCCUAACCAUAGCUCCAGCCCUAACCCUAACCCCUUGCCCAAAGUCUCACCCUAACCCUAACCGUCGGACAUGUGCAGCGCCACCUCUGGUCAAAAGCGGUAGGACACCCCUUUUGCAAAGUCGCCCUCAAAUGACAGGAAAUGGCCUGAAACGUGCUCACAAUGCAUUUUCAACAUUUCCAGACAAGUAGAACACUUGCAAACACUGACUUUGGCCAUUUUUCCGCUCCCAUUCAUCUUCAAUGGGAAAUUUUCACUUCGCCAUAACUUUUGAUAGGAAUGUCCGAUCGCUGGUUCAUUACUAUUUCUAGAUUCAGCAUACCCGAAAAUGGGGGGUAGACCAAAUCUCAGCCCGGUUCAUCAUUGGGAAAGGCAAUGAACCGGCAUGUCAAAAGUGGCACAUAUCCCUAUAUCCUGCCCCAAAGCUCCAACCCCCGAAAACUUCACCCACAAUCAGGUUCUAUGGACUCCCCGUGGCCUGAAACGUGCUCCUAACACAAUUCUGGAAGGUGAAAAAUUGGGUCCGCACUUAGGAAAAUCUUCAGAUUUUGGGAAAAUCUUCACAUUUUCCUAACCCUAACCCUAACCCUAGCUCCAACCCUAACCCUAACCCUAGCUCCAACCCUAGCUCCACCACUAACCCUAACCAUAGCUCCAGCCCUAACCCUAACCCCUUGCCCAAAGUCUCACCCUAACCCUAACCGUCGGACAUGUGCAGCACCACCUCUGGUCAAAAGCGGUAGGACACCCCUUUUUGCAAAGUCGCCCUCAAAUGACAGGAAAUGGCCUGAAACGUGCUCACAAUGCAUUUUCAACAUUUCCAGACAAGUAGAACACUUGCAAACACUGACUUUGGCCAUUUUUCCGCUCCCAUUCAUUUUCAAUGGGAAAUUUUCACUUCGCCAUAACUUUUGAUAGGAAUGUCCGAUCGCUGGUUCAUUACUAUUUCUAGAUUCAGCAUACCCGAAAAUGGGGGGGUAGACCAAAUCUCAGCCCGGUUCAUCAUUGGGAAAGGCAAUGAACCGGCAUGUCAAAAGUGGCACAUAUCCCUAUAUCCUAACCCUAACCCUAACCCUAACCCUAACCCUAACCCUAACCCCUAACCCUAACCCUAACCCUAACCCUAACCCUAACCCUAACCCUAACCCUAACCCUAACCCUAACCCUAACCCUAACCCUAACCCCUAACCCUAACCCUAACCCUAACCCUAACCCUAACCCUAACCCUAACCCCUAACCCUAACCCUAACCCUAACCCUAACCCUAACCCUAACCCUAACCCUAACCCUAACCCUAACCCUAACCCUAACCCUAACCCUAACCCUAACCCUAACCCUAACCCUAACCCUAACCCUAACCCUAACCCUAACCCCUAACCCUAACCCUAACCCUAACCCUAACCCUAACCCUAACCCUAAACCCUAACCCUAACCCUAACCCUAACCCUAACCCUAACCCCUAACCCUAACCCUAACCCUAACCCUAACCCUAACCCUAACCCCUAACCCUAACCCUAACCCUAACCCUAACCCUAACCCUAACCCUAACCCCUAACCCUAACCCUAACCCUAACCCUAACCCUAACCCUAACCCUAACCCUAAACCCUAACCCUAACCCUAACCCUAACCCUAACCCUAACCCUAACCCUAACCCUAAACCCUAACCCUAACCCUAACCCUAACCCUAACCCUAACCCUAACCCUAACCCUAACCCUAACCCUAACCCAGAAUCAGGUUCUAUGGACUCCCCGUGGCCUGAAACGUGCUCCUAACACAAUUCUGGAAGGUGAAAAAUUGGGUCCACACUUAGGAAAAUCUUGUGAUUUUUCUCCAAUAACACCAACCCUAACCCUAACCCUAGCUCCAACCCUAACCCUAACCCUAGCUCCAACCCUAACCCUAACCCUAGCUCCAACCCUAACCCUAACCCCUUGCCCAAAGUCUCACCCUAACCCUAACCGUCGGACAUGUGCAGCGCCACCUCUGGUCAAAAGCGGUAUGACACCCCUUUUUGCAAAGUCGCCCUCAAAUGACAGGAAAUGGCCUGAAACGUGCUCACAAUGCAUUUUCAACAGUUCCAGACAAGUACAACACUUGCAAACACUGACUUUGGCCAUUUUUCCGCUCCCAUUCAUUUUCAAUGGGAAAUUUUCAUUUCGCCAUAACUUUUGAUAGGAAUGUCCGAUCGCUGGUUCAUUAGUAUUUCUAGAUUCAGCAUACCCGAAAAUAGGGGGGUAGACCAAAUCUCAGCCCGGUUCAUCAUUGGGAAAGGCAAUGAACCGGCAUGUCAAAAGUGGCACAUAUCCCUAUAUCCUAACCCUAACCCUAACCCUAACCCUAACCCUAACCCUAACCCUAACCCCUAACCCUAACCCUAACCCUAACCCUAACCCUAAACCCUAACCCUAACCCUAACCCUAACCCUAACCCUAACCCUAACCCCUAACCCUAACCCUAACCCUAACCCUAACCCUAACCCCUAACCCUAACCCUAACCCUAACCCUAACCCUAACCCUAACCCUAACCCCUAACCCUAACCCUAACCCUAACCCUAACCCUAACCCUAACCCUAACCCAGAAUCAGGUUCUAUGGACUCCCCGUGGCCUGAAACGUGCUCCUAACACAAUUCUGGAAGGUGAAAAAUUGGGUCCACACUUCGGAAAAUCUUGUGAUUUUUCUCCAAUAACACCAACCCUAACCCUAACCCUAGCUCCAACCCUAACCCUAACCCUAGCUCCAACCCUAACCCUAACCCUAGCUCCAACCCUAACCCUAACCCCUUGCCCAAAGUCUCACCCUAACCCUAACCGUCGGACAUGUGCAGCGCCACCUCUGGUCAAAAGCGGUAUGACACCCCUUUUUGCAAAGUCGCCCUCAAAUGACAGGAAAUGGCCUGAAACGUGCUCACAAUGCAUUUUCAACAGUUCCAGACAAGUACAACACUUGCAAACACUGACUUUGGCCAUUUUUCCGCUCCCAUUCAUUUUCAAUGGGAAAUUUUCAUUUCGCCAUAACUUUUGAUAGGAAUGUCCGAUCGCUGGUUCAUUAGUAUUUCUAGAUUCAGCAUACCCGAAAAUAGGGGGUAGACCAAAUCUCAGCCCGGUUCAUCAUUGGGAAAGGCAAUGAACCGGCAUGUCAAAAGUGGCACAUAUCCCUAUAUCCUAACCCUAACCCUAACCCUAACCCUAACCCUAACCCUAACCCCUAACCCUAACCCUAACCCUAACCCUAACCCUAACCCUAACCCUAACCCUAACCCUAACCCUAACCCUAACCCUAACCCCUAACCCUAACCCUAACCCUAACCCUAACCCUAACCCCUAACCCUAACCCUAACCCUAACCCUAACCCUAACCCUAACCCUAACCCCUAACCCUAACCCUAACCCUAACCCUAACCCUAACCCUAACCCUAACCCAGAAUCAGGUUCUAUGGACUCCCCGUGGCCUGAAACGUGCUCCUAACACAAUUCUGGAAGGUGAAAAAUUGGGUCCACACUUCGGAAAAUCUUGUGAUUUUUCUCCAAUAACACCAACCCUAACCCUAACCCUAGCUCCAACCCUAACCCUAACCCUAGCUCCAACCCUAACCCUAACCCUAGCUCCAACCCUAACCCUAACCCCUUGCCCAAAGUCUCACCCUAACCCUAACCGUCGGACAUGUGCAGCGCCACCUCUGGUCAAAAGCGGUAUGACACCCCUUUUUGCAAAGUCGCCCUCAAAUGACAGGAAAUGGCCUGAAACGUGCUCACAAUGCAUUUUCAACAGUUCCAGACAAGUACAACACUUGCAAACACUGACUUUGGCCAUUUUUCCGCUCCCAUUCAUUUUCAAUGGGAAAUUUUCAUUUCGCCAUAACUUUUGAUAGGAAUGUCCGAUCGCUGGUUCAUUAGUAUUUCUAGAUUCAGCAUACCCGAAAAUAGGGGGGUAGACCAAAUCUCAGCCCGGUUCAUCAUUGGGAAAGGCAAUGAACCGGCAUGUCAAAAGUGGCACAUAUCCCUAUAUCCUAACCCUAACCCUAACCCUAACCCUAACCCUAACCCUAACCCCUAACCCUAACCCUAACCCUAACCCUAACCCUAACCCCUAACCCUAACCCUAACCCUAACCCUAACCCUAACCCUAACCCCUAACCCUAACCCUAACCCUAACCCUAACCCCUAACCCUAACCCUAACCCUAACCCUAACCCUAACCCUAACCCCUAACCCUAACCCUAACCCUAACCCUAACCCUAACCCUAACCCUAACCCUAACCCAGAAUCAGGUUCUAUGGACUCCCCGUGGCCUGAAACGUGCUCCUAACACAAUUCUGGAAGGUGAAAAAUUGGGUCCACACUUCGGAAAAUCUUGUGAUUUUCUCCAAUAACACCAACCCUAACCCUAACCCUAGCUCCAACCCUAACCCUAACCCUAGCUCCAACCCUAACCCUAACCCUAGCUCCAACCCUAACCCUAACCCCUUGCCCAAAGUCUCACCCUAACCCUAACCGUCGGACAUGUGCAGCGCCACCUCUGGUCAAAAGCGGUAUGACACCCCUUUUUGCAAAGUCGCCCUCAAAUGACAGGAAAUGGCCUGAAACGUGCUCACAAUGCAUUUUCAACAGUUCCAGACAAGUACAACACUUGCAAACACUGACUUUGGCCAUUUUUCCGCUCCCAUUCAUUUUCAAUGGGAAAUUUUCAUUUCGCCAUAACUUUUGAUAGGAAUGUCCGAUCGCUGGUUCAUUAGUAUUUCUAGAUUCAGCAUACCCGAAAAUAGGGGGGUAGACCAAAUCUCAGCCCGGUUCAUCAUUGGGAAAGGCAAUGAACCGGCAUGUCAAAAGUGGCACAUAUCCCUAUAUCCUAACCCUAACCCUAACCCUAACCCUAACCCUAACCCUAACCCCUAACCCUAACCCUAACCCUAACCCUAACCCUAACCCUAACCCCUAACCCUAACCCUAACCCUAACCCUAACCCUAACCCUAACCCCUAACCCUAACCCUAACCCUAACCCUAACCCCUAACCCUAACCCUAACCCUAACCCUAACCCUAACCCUAACCCUAACCCCUAACCCUAACCCUAACCCUAACCCUAACCCUAACCCUAACCCUAACCCAGAAUCAGGUUCUAUGGACUCCCCGUGGCCUGAAACGUGCUCCUAACACAAUUCUGGAAGGUGAAAAAUUGGGUCCACACUUCGGAAAAUCUUGUGAUUUUUCUCCAAUAACACCAACCCUAACCCUAACCCUAGCUCCAACCCUAACCCUAACCCUAGCUCCAACCCUAACCCUAACCCUAGCUCCAACCCUAACCCUAACCCCUUGCCCAAAGUCUCACCCUAACCCUAACCGUCGGACAUGUGCAGCGCCACCUCUGGUCAAAAGCGGUAUGACACCCCUUUUUGCAAAGUCGCCCUCAAAUGACAGGAAAUGGCCUGAAACGUGCUCACAAUGCAUUUUCAACAGUUCCAGACAAGUACAACACUUGCAAACACUGACUUUGGCCAUUUUUCCGCUCCCAUUCAUUUUCAAUGGGAAAUUUUCAUUUCGCCAUAACUUUUGAUAGGAAUGUCCGAUCGCUGGUUCAUUAGUAUUUCUAGAUUCAGCAUACCCGAAAAUAGGGGGGUAGACCAAAUCUCAGCCCGGUUCAUCAUUGGGAAAGGCAAUGAACCGGCAUGUCAAAAGUGGCACAUAUCCCUAUAUCCUGCCCCAAAGCUCCAACCCCCGAAAACUUCACCCAGAAUCAGGUUCUAUGGACUCCCCGUGGCCUGAAACGUGCUCCUAACACAAUUCUGGAAGGUGAAAAAUUGGGUCCACACUUCGGAAAAUCUUGUGAUUUUUCUCCAAUAACACCAACCCUAACCCUAACCCUAGCUCCAACCCUAACCCUAACCCUAGCUCCAACCCUAACCCUAACCCUAGCUCCAACCCUAACCCUAACCCCUUGCCCAAAGUCUCACCCUAACCCUAACCGUCGGACAUGUGCAGCGCCACCUCUGGUCAAAAGCGGUAUGACACCCCUUUUUGCAAAGUCGCCCUCAAAUGACAGGAAAUGGCCUGAAACGUGCUCACAAUGCAUUUUCAACAGUUCCAGACAAGUACAACACUUGCAAACACUGACUUUGGCCAUUUUUCCGCUCCCAUUCAUUUUCAAUGGGAAAUUUUCAUUUCGCCAUAACUUUUGAUAGGAAUGUCCGAUCGCUGGUUCAUUAGUAUUUCUAGAUUCAGCAUACCCGAAAAUAGGGGGGUAGACCAAAUCUCAGCCCGGUUCAUCAUUGGGAAAGGCAAUGAACCGGCAUGUCAAAAGUGGCACAUAUCCCUAUAUCCUAACCCUAACCCUAACCCCUAACCCUAACCCUAACCCUAACCCUAACCCCUAACCCUAACCCUAACCCUAACCCUAACCCCUAACCCUAACCCUAACCCUAACCCUAACCCCUAACCCUAACCCUAACCCUAACCCUAACCCUAACCCUAACCCUAACCGUGCACCUCCUGUCUCCUAUCCUAGGAGACAGUCCCCCUUUUCCCGUAACCCUAACCCUAACCCUAACCCUAACCCUAACCCUAACCCUAACCCUAACCCCAACCCCAACCCCAACCCUAACCCUAACCCCUAACCCUAACCCUAACCCUAACCCUAACCCUAACCCCUAACCCUAACCCUAACCCUAACCCUAACCCUAACCCCUAACCCCCUAACCCUAACCCCUAACCCUAACCCUAACCCCUAACCCUAACCCUAACCCUAACCCCAACCCUAACCCUAACCCUAACCCUAACCCUAACCCUAACCCUAACCCUAACCCUAACCCUAACCCUAACCCUAACCCUAACCCUAACCCUAACCCCUAACCCUAACCCCUAACCCUAACCCUAACCCCAGCACUAACCCUAACCUGGGAAUCUAACCCUAACCCUAACCCUAGUAUGGGAUUCUAACCCUAACCUGGGACUCGCCCUAACCCUAACCAUUAGAGGCAACUUAAUGACCGACGGCCAAGCAGGCCACAGAGGUCAAAGGUCAAGCAGGACCAUAUACCUAUUAAUAUGUUUAUUAAAGCACAAAUAUGUGAAUAAACAUAAUUAAUACGGAUUUAAAGCACAAACAGGUGCAUAAAGGGUUAAGAUUGUAAAAACUAAAUAGAGCAGAAAAUAACUUAAAUAUAAGUAAAUUCAUUCUAAUUUUUAGCUGAGGGAAUAUAAAAGGGAGAAAAGUGGGUAGGGCUUUUCAUUUUCAUUUCUGUUCGGCUGCUGGCUGGUUCACCCCUAUGAAUUGGGGCCCAGCAGCCUUAGCUGUUACAUGUGCAUAGACCUGAUGAAGACCAAACUAGGUCGAAACGUCGUCGCGGUGCACACAUCAUAUACAUAGUUCAAGUAGUGUUCAUGUAUGUUUGUUUGUUUGUGUGUUUGUGUGUAAACAACAGUUAAAAACCUAAAAAAAUGGAUUAAUUUAACAAAUAUGAAUUACACAACACACUAAAACUAAUUUAUUAAAAACAAUUUAAUUCAUAACACAAAUAAGUGUCUUCUGGGACCGGGGGAGCGUGUCCAGUGGGCGAAGGCCCGUGCAUUCCCCGCUCCCCGCCGACCCAAGUAGGGCAAUUUAGGGGAGACGGGAUUCUUUCCCAAAACCUUACCCGCCAGUGCCUCGUCCAUCUCUGGUGCGUUUCCUCGGUCCCGGAUCUGCAAAGCCUAAAAACAGUGCUACUUACCUUAACCCUGAUCCUGGCGCUUCAUCAUUUCCCGCUCCCCGCAGACCCAAGUAGGGUCACGUUAGAGCCCCAGAGAUCAUUUCUAGCCCAACCGUGGACCUGGCCCUAACCCUAACCAUUAUGAGGGCCCUAACCCUAACCCUAGUGCUAUCCCGCUCCCCGCAGACCCAAGUAGGGUCACUAUAGGAGAGACGGGAUUCAUUUCUAGCCCCAGCCGUGGCUCUGGCCCUAACCCUAACCAUUAUGAAAGGGCCCUAACCCUAACCCUAGCGCCAUCUAGCCCCAAUCGUGGCCUUAACCCUAACCCUAACCCUAACCCUAACCCUCGGAUUUGAACCCUAACCCUAAUACUGACCCUAACCCUAACUCUACUGGUCAGUUUAAAACCAAACAGCGAUUAUAGGGUUAACAUUUACAAACUAAAUAAAGUUGAAUUUAAACUAAAUAUCCGAGAGAAAUUCAGUUAAUUUCUUGUCCAAAGGGUAUAAAAGGGAAUACAGGACAGGGAAAAUUCAUUUUCUUUUGGCUGCUUGCUGGGUGAACCCCUAUGAAUUGGGGCCCAGCAGCCAUUAUGUGUGCAUAGACCUGAUGAAGACCAAACUAGGUCGAAACGUCGUCGCGGUGCACACAUCAUAUACAUAGUUCAAGUAGUGUUCAUGUAUGUUUGUUUGUUUGUGUGUUUGUGUGUAAACAACAGUUAAAAACCUAAAAAAAUGGAUUAAUUUAACAAAUAUGAAUUACACAACACACUAAAACUAAUUUAUUAAAAACAAUUUAAUUCAUAACACAAAUAAGUGUCUUCUGGGACCGGGGGAGCGUGUCCAGUGGGCGAAGGCCCGUGCAUUCCCCGCUCCCCGCCGACCCAAGUAGGGCAAUUUAGGGGAGACGGGAUUCUUUCCCAAAACCUUACCCGCCAGUGCCUCGUCCAUCUCUGGUGCGUUUCCUCGGUCCCGGAUCUGCAAAGCCUAAAAACAGUGCUACUUACCUUAACCCUGAUCCUGGCGCUUCAUCAUUUCCCGCUCCCCGCAGACCCAAGUAGGGUCACGUUAGGAGAGACGGGAAUCAUUUCUAGCCCCAACCGUGGACCUGGCCCUAACCCUAACCAUUAUGAG